rnacentral:sRNA from 1 species
GCUGGGCGCAGUGUGCACACCUGUAAUCCCAGCAGCUCAGGAGGCUGAGGCAGGAGGAUUGCAAGUUCAAGGCUGGCAUCAGCAAUUUAGUGAGGCCCUAACCAAUUUAGUGAGACCCUGCCUUAA